AUUAAAGCUUGUCUAAACAUUAUGUGUGGUUUAUUGUCAAUCAAAAUACUCCAGAUUUUUGUUAAGGUAGAAGGUUAUUGAAGAAAUGACUGAUAUAUUAUAUGUUUGCUGUUUGUGUAAAUAAUAUUUUGUAUAAAUAAUUUAUGAAAUAUGCAUAAGGUUAAAGGUUCCUUUCUGUCAAAUCAACACUAAUACCUAAUAUGAAUAGUAAGAUACAUUGUGUAGGCUUUUCUUUUUGUGGUUGUACAAAUCAAUUAUCUUUGUGAUAGGGACAGAGAUAAAUUAUUAUUGUCAUCAGUGGAAUAGUUAGCUAAAGAUCUCAAGUAUACAAUGAUAUUGUGUAGAGAUCUUUGUUCCUUGUAAAUUUGUUGUGAAUUGUUCUUGGUCAGUUUGUGGAUGCCAGAUACAUGUAUAGUUACGGCUGGUGAUACAAGUUUAACAAUGACUAAUCAAAAUGCUGUUUUCUAUCCACUGUACAUCACAUUGUUUGUAUACAUCAGUACUAUUAUAUAAGUACAUGUAUAUACAUUGGUAUCAUUGUUGCAAGAAAAUCAUUCACAAACAAUUUUUCUAUUGAAUAAUGGUUCUAUUGAUGUCAGAGUAAAUUAGUGUAUUGUCAACAUAUUGGUAUACUACUGUAUUUGUUAGGCAUAUAUUAAUGUCCAAUUUUGUGGUGUUUUCCAAUGUAAAUAGAAAAUUUUGUUAAUAUUUCUUCUUUAAUUAAUUUAUUUUCUCUCACAUGACACAUCAUGUGACACCCAUCACAUGACUUUGCAUGGCACCCAUCAUAAAAUAUAGUACAUCAUAUGACACAUCAUUUUACAUAAAACAUCACAUGAUCGCCACCACAUGGCACAUCACAUGACAUACAACAUACAUCACAUGACACAUACCACAUGUGCCCCACAUUACAUGGUACCCAUCAUAUGUCUUCCAUCACAUGACACAUCACAUGACAAAGAGUCACAUGACAUAUAUGAACUUAAGCUCAUAACAAGAUCAAUUGUAAUCUGUGGCAAUCAGUAAUAUACCACACAAUCAUCCACUGUAUAUUGUACCACCAGUUUCCAUGGUUACAGCAGAACAGUAAAUACAUCAAUUGUAUGUUGUACCACCAGUUUCCAUGGUAGAACAGUAAAUAUAGCCACUGUAUAUUGUACCACCACAGUUUCCAUGGUAGAACAGUAAAUACAGCCACUGUAUAUUGUACCACCACAGUUUCCAUGGUAGAACAGUAAAUAUAGCCACUGUGUAUUGUACAACCGCAGUUACCAUGGUAGAACAGUAAAUAUAGCCACUGUAUGUUGUACCAUCACAGUUACCAUGGUAGAACAGUGAAUACAACCACUGUAUAUUGUACCACCACAGUUUCCAUUGUAGAACAGUAAAUACCAACCAUUGUAUAUUGUACCACCACAGUUUCCAUGGUAGAACAGUAAAUACAACCACUGUAUAUUGUACCACCAGUUUCCAUGGUUACAGCAGAACAGUAAAUAUAUCAAUUGUAUGUUGUACCACCAGUUUCCAUGGUAGAACAGUAAAUAUAGCCACUGUAUAUUGUACCACCACAGUUUCCAUGGUAGAACAGUAAAUACAGCCACUGUAUAUUGUACCACCACAGUUUCCAUGGUAGAACAGUAAAUACAGCCACUGUAUAUUGUACCACCACAGUUUCCAUGGUAGAACAGUGAAAACAGCCACUGUAUAUUGUACCACCACAGUUAUCAUGGUAGAACAGUGAAUACAACCACUGUAUAUUGUACCACCACAGUUUCCAUGGUAGAACAGUAAAUACAGCCAUUGUAUAUUGUACCACCACAGUUUCCAUGGUAGAACAGUAAAAACAGCCAUUGUAUAUUGUACCACCACAGUUUCCAUGGUAGAACAGUAAAAACAGCCACUAUAUUGUACCACCACAGUUUCCAUGGUAGAACAGUGAAUACAGCCAUUGUAUAUUGUACCACCACAGUUACCAUGGUAGAACAGUGAAUACAACCACUGUAUAUUGUACCACCACAGUUACCAUGGUAGAACAGUGAAUACAGCCAUUGUAUAUUGUACCACCACAGUUACCAUGGUAGAACAGUAAAUACAACCACUGUAUAUUGUACCACCACAGUUUCCAUGGUAGAACAGUGAAUAUAGCCACUGUAUAUUGUACCACCACAGUUUCCAUGGUAGAACAGUAAAUACAUCCAUUGUAUAUAUUGUACCACCACAGUUUCCAUGGUAGAACAGUAAAUACAUCCACUGUAUAUUGUACCACCAGUUUCCAUGGUAGAACAGUGAAUACAGCCACUGUAUUUUGUACCAUCACAGUUACCAUGGUAGAACAGUAAAUACAUCCACUGUAUAUUUUACCACCAGUUUCCAUGGUAGAACAGUAAAUACAACCAUUGUAUAUUGUACCACCACAGUUUCCAUGGUAGAACAGUGAAUACAAUCACUGUAUUUUGUACCACCACAGUUUCCAUGGUAGAACAGUAAAUACAUCCAUUGUAUAUAUUGUACCACCACAGUUACCAUGGUAGAACAGUAAAUACAACCACUGUAUAUUGUACCACCACAGUUACCAUGGUAGAACAGUGAAUACAACCACUGUAUAUUGUACGUAUGUAAUUUGAUUAAACUAAUUGACAGGUCCAGAUAUUCAAACAUAUUUUAGAGAUGGAAUUCUUGAUUCAAAUCACUUCUGAUCAAUAAGAAAAGAAUUUGAAAUUUACAAAAAGGUAUACGAUUGUGAGAACUAUUUAUUAGUUGAAGAAAGCAAACAUGUAAGGGAAUAUUAAACAUUGGAUAGAAAAAAGUUGUAGACUGACAAUAUUUGGAAGAUAAAGGGGUAUCAAACUGAAAAUUAUUUAAUGAAUCAUGGAGAAUAUGAUUUUAUUUGUACGAUGAGACAUGUCACAGGAACAAUCACAUGAUGUACAAUGUUAAAUAUUGUUACGGUUUAUUUAAGUUGGGACCAGGCAUUAUUUUGUCAUUUUUGUCACCUUUGACAUUUUUUUGUUGUAAAAAUAGUAUUUUUAUUAGUCAUACAUUGUUACCAAUUGAUUUUGUCUGGUGCUUGUGAUUUAUGUAUGUAGGUCGUCCAUAUGGUGCAUGUUUACACAAUGAUAAAUAAAUUUAUUUUGGAUUAUUUAAA